GGGAGUGUAGCUAAGUGAUAGAGUGCUUGCCUAGCAUGCAUGAAGCCCUGGGUUCGAUUCCUCAGUACCA
rnacentral:tRNA from 1 species